GGGGGGGGGGGGGGGGGGGGGGGGGGGAUGGGGGGCGGGCGGGAGGGGCCUGGUGUUGUGGGGUGCUCGCGGGGGGAGCGGGUGGGUAACGCGUGAGUAACCUGCCCUUGGCUUUGGGAUAACUUCAGGAACCUGGGGCUAAUACCGGAUAGGAGCUCCUGCUGCCUGGUGGGGGUUGGAACGUUUCGGCGGUUGGGGAUGGACUCGCGGCUUAUCAGCUGGUUGGUGGGGUAGUGGCUUACCAAGGCUUUGACGGGCAGCCGGCCUGGGUGGGUGACCGGCCACAUUGGGACUGAGAUACGGCCCAGACUCCUACGGGAGGCAGCAGUGGGGAAUAUUGCACAAUGGGCGGAAGCCUGAUGCAGCAACGCCGCGUGCGGGAUGACGGCCUUCGGGUUGUAAACCGCUUUCGCCUGUGACGAAGCGUGAGUGACGGUAAUGGGUAAAGAAGCACCGGCUAACUACGUG
rnacentral:rRNA from 1 species